CGGAGGGAGUAAAGCUAUCAAUGCUUGUUCUUGCUCUUUUUGCUCAAAAGCCCAAUAUUUAUGGUUGGACCUCCAUCAGAAGGACAUUAAGGCUCGAUUAUCAGCAUUGAAAAAGAGUCAGAAAGAUGCUAGCAUAUUGGCUGAAAGAAGUAGCAGGAUGAAGGUCAAUGAGAAACAAGGUGGUGAUAGCUCUAAGUUGGAAUCUCAUCUGAUGAAUCAGUGGAGAUCUCUCUUUCAGCAUAUGUCGGACAUAUGGGCCGCAGAAACUAAUCAGCUUGAAGCUAGUCUAUUGCCACUGAACAAUCUAAAAGACAAAUGCAAAGCGGAGAUGGAGUCGAAUAAUGCUAAGCUGCCAGAAAAGCAUUAAGUAUAUGGAGACUCGAAAUUUCUGUGAGAUGAGUUUUUUUUUUUUCUUCUAAAUCUUGCGCCUAUCAUUUAUUACCUAAAUCAACAUUUUCUUCUUGCACCUUAGAUAGGAUUUUUGUUGUACUUCAUAUAUGUAAGCAUACUAAAAUAUCUUCAUUGCUGUUUCUAUCGUUAUUCAGUUAGUUUUA